ensembl:lncRNA
AAUGACAAAGCCAAAAUUCAGGCCUUGCCCAAGCUGCCAAGUCCGUCAGCAGGCCAACCGCAAAACAUGCAGUGCUUGUUUUGCCACACUGCCAAGCAAGCGGUUAUUAAAAACUGCAAAAAUUAAUGAUGACUGGGGCCAGAGGGUCGUCAAAAACAAAAAUGCAUCUCGGGUGGUGGCCUCUGCCCAAAUAGCUGUCCAAAAAAACUUUCUGCCUUGGGCUAUAUGCCCAUAUUAUUUAUCAGCCAGAGGCACAAGGGCACAGGCAAGUUGAUGGCAGAUGUAGUCACGCAUCUGCCACCGACGCAAAACAACACACGUUUCUUAACCAGCAUGAAGAGGGCAUAUGACUUCAUAAUCAAACUGGAUGAUGUGCCCCAGCCCCAGCCCCAGCAAGACCAGCCCCUCCACCUAGACCAACCCCUACCCCAAGACCAGCCCCUGCCCCUAGACCAGCUAAUCCCACAAGACCAGCCCCUAGACCAGCCCCAGAAAGACCAGCCCCUAGACCAGCCCCAGCAAGACCAGCCCCUGCCCCUAGACCAGCUAAUCCCACAAGAUCAGCCCCUAGACCAGCCCCAGCAAGACCAGCCCCUGCCCCUAGACCAGCUAAUCCCACAAGACCAGCCUACCCCAACAGACCAGCAAAUUAUUAAACUUGAACUAUUUACGAUCGACUCACAGGCUCAGCAGCAUGUGGAGCCUCUACCACCCAGGAAAAGACAAACCCCACUAUCCACCCCGGGCCUACCAUCCACCCCAGGCCAAGGCAAACGAGCCCCACCAUCCAUCCAACCUCAACUAAAGAAAAAGACAAACCACAGGUAAAGGAGCCACACAAGCCCCACCCUCUACCCUGGCCAAAAAGAAGAAAACAAAAAGUUGCAAAUGCAGUCGACAGACAAUUUAUCCAUACGAUAAAAUAUUGGAAAGACGGAUGAAUGGGGUAAGAUGUAGAACCAUAUUUUUCAUUAGGCUGUCUGAUUAUCUCUUGACUCAUGUCUGUCUCAUCUUUCAAUCCACAUGUGACAAAACAGUAACACUGAGCAGUAGGUAUCAAACUUUUUCAACUAUCAACCCUCUCACAAGUGCUACCCCUUAGGAAAAAAAAGUAUACUUCAAGUUAUUUUAUGAAGUAUACUUAAGUAAUGUUCAAGUAUAUUUUUAAGUAUACUUUAUGGAGUAAGUAUACUAGUAUCAAUGUGUACUAUUUCAAUACUGCUUGGGGCUAAAUUGGC